rnacentral:rRNA from 1 species
AACGCCGCAGGCCCGCAGAGGGCUGUCGCCUGCGCCUCCCGCGAGAACCAGUCCCCCCCGUUGCCUCGGGGGCGCGCCGCGCCGCGUGCCGGAGCGCCCCCGCGGGCCCCACCACGCCGCUGUACCGGACACUCUGAGACCCCACAGAACGUUACAACUUUCAGCAACGGAUCUCUUGGCUCUGGCAACGAUGAAGGACGCAGCGAAAUGCGAUACGUAAUGCGAAUUGCAGAUCUCCGCGAGUCAUCGAAUCUCUGAACGCACAUUGCGCCCGCCGGAUCUCCCCGGCGGGCACGCCCGUCCGAGCGUCACCUACCCCCCCCCCGAGCCCCGCUCGGUGUUGGGACCCCGCGGCCGCCGCGGGGCCCCCAAAUCCAGCGGCGGCGGCCCCGCGGAUCCCCUGGCGAAGCAGACAGCCUGCGCCUCGGGACGCGGCGGUCGCCCCCGACCCAACCCCAAUGACCUCGGAUCGGGCGGGACGACCCGCUGAACUUAAGCAUAUCAAUAAGCGGAGGAAAAGAAACCAACAGGGAUGGCCCCAGUAGCGGCGAGCGAAGCGGCCACAGCCCAGAUUUGAAAGCUGGCCCCCUGCGGGGCCCGCGUUGUAAUCUGCAGAGGACGCCUCGGGGGCGGCGGCGCGCGAAGUCCCCUGGAACGGGGCGCCACAGAGGGUAACAGCCCCGUGCGCGCGGCGCCCGCCUCCGUGCGAGGCUCCUUCGACGAGUCGAGUAGUUUGGGAAUGCUGCUCCAAGCGGGAGGUAAAUUCCUUCCAAGGCUAAACACCCGCCAGAGACCGAUAGCGCACAAGUAGUGUAAACGAAAGAUGAAAAGCACCCUGGAGAGAGGGUUAAACAGAACGUGAAAUUGCUGAAAGGGAAGCGCCGGCGGCCAGACGCGGGCCCCGUGGCUUGGCCGGCCCUCGCGGCCGGUGUACUCCACGGCGGCCCGGGCCAGCACCGGCUCCUGCGGGCACGGAAGGGCGCCGGGAACGUGGCUCCCCCG